CGCUUCAUGGAGUUUUUCCGGACUUUUAAAGGCUGUGGUUUUAUUUAUUUUUAAUUCACCCAUAAACGUCCUGAGUAAUUGAGUUUUAGGAAAAAGGAACAUUAGAAGACUUACGGAAAAUUGUUGAGAAGCGCAACUGUGGGAAUUGGUCCAGCUUCAACAAAUAGGAUUACUGCGUCACUUCCAAAGCAAGCUCCUUCAAUUGCAGCCUGUCCUGUCAUCAUCACAGGGUUAUCCAUUUUGUGCAAACAGCAGCAGAGGCGAAACCCCAAAAGUCAAUCAGUCUGAAAAUUAUAAAUGCAAAUUGAUGAGCCUGGGAAGGCUGGCAGCCCAUUGAUUACUGGGAUACAGAGGGGCAUAAACAAUGGCCCACCUCACUGCACACACACACAUAUUCCGGCAAUCGACGUGGCCAAGACGGAUGGACAGUAUAUAACAAUUAGAAGUUUCCUGCUCAUCCAAGGAAUCGGGGGUCCAAGGAGGUACCAGGUAAUCUGAGGCCAUGUGGACAAACGACAGUGGCAAAGGCAACUUGUCAGCUCGAAUGACGUUUUAAUAAGUCACAUAAUUCAUGGGUCGAGAAUGGGAUGGGUGUAGGUUCGGUUCUGCAUAGCGAUAGGGGGACUGGCGAACACGUUCCCCGAAACUUCGGAUUUCUCGUUUAGCAUGGACUCCAACUCCAACUCGCAUCGCCAAUGUAAUACAGUGGGUCUAUUUGCCUCAAACUUGCCGGG